rnacentral:rRNA from 1 species
CUACCGGGGUUUCUAAUCCUGUUUGCUCCCCACGCUUUCGCGUCUCAGCGUCAGUCACCGUCCAGAUGGCCGCCUUCGCCACCGGUGUUCUUCUCGAUAUCUACGAAUUUCACCUCUACACCGAGAGUUCCACCAUCCUCUCCGGGACUCCAGCAAGGCAGUAUCGAGUGCACUUCCAGGGUUGAGCCCUGGGCUUUCACAUCCGACUUGCCUCACCGCCUACACGCGCUUUACGCCCAGUAAUUCCGAACAACGUUCGCACCCUCUGUCUUACCGCGGCUGCUGGCAC